GCUCGUGUCGUGAGAUGUUGGGUUAAGUCCCGCAACGAGCGCAACCCUUAUGACUAGUUGCCAGCAUUUAGUUGGCACUURRACRCGYGHGNAWCUCUGSGGGGGCVGCGMGUGGGAGUCUCCACAAUGGACGCAAGUYUGAUGGAGAAACSCCCGCGURAAUAAAAAAGGCUUUCGGGUCGUAAAACUCUKUUKUUGGAGAARAAUGGUCGGCAGAGUAACUGUUGUCGGCGUGACGGUAUCCAACCAGAAAGCCACGGCUAACUACGUGCCAGCAGCCGCGGUAAUACGUAGGUGGCAAGCGUUAUCCGGAUUUAUUGGGCGUAAAGCGAGCGCAGGCGGUUUUUUAAGUCUGAUGUGAAAGCCCUCGGCUUAACCGAGGAAGCGCAUCGGAAACUGGGAAACUUGAGUGCAGAAGAGGACAGUGGAACUCCAUGUGUAGCGGUGAAAUGCGUAGAUAUAUGGAAGAACACCAGUGGCGAAGGCGGCUGUCUGGUCUGUAACUGACGCUGAGGCUCGAAAGCAUSNUAGCGAACAGGAUUAGAUACCCUGGUAGUCCAUGCCGUDNNNAUGAAUGCUAGGUGUUGGAGGGUUUCCGCCCUUCAGUGCCGCASUAACGCAUUAAGCAUUCCSCCUGGGGAGUACGACCGCAAGGUUGAAACUCAAAGGAAUUGACGGGGGCCGCACAAGCGGUGGAGCAUGUGGUUUAAUUCGAAGCAACGCGAAGAACCUUACCAGGUCUUGACAUCUUUUGAUCACCUGAGAGAUCAGGUUUYCUUCGGGGGCAAAAUGACAGGUGGUGCAUGGUUGUCGUCAGCUCGUGUCGUGAGAUGUUGGGUUAASUCCCGCAACGAGCGCAACCCUUAUGACUAGUUGCCAGCAUUUAGUUGGHACUCUAGUAAAGACUGCCGGUGACAAACCGGAAGAAAGGUGGGGAUGACGUCAAAUCAUCAUGCCCCUUAWGACCUGGGCUACACACGUGCUACAAUGGAUGGUACAACGAGUUGCGAGACCGCGAGGYAAGCUAAUCUCUUAAAGCCAUUCUCAGUUCGGACUGUAGGCUGCAACUCGCCUACACGAAGUCGGAAUCGCUAGUAAUCGCGGAUCAGCACGCCGCGGUGAAUACGUUCCCGGGCCUUGUACACACCGCCCGUCACACCAUGAGAGUUUGUAACACCCGAAGCCGGUGGSGUUAACCMUUUUAGGGAGSGAGCSGUCUAAGGUGGGACAAAUGAUUAGGGUGAAGUCGUAACAAGGUAGCSGUAGAGAACCUGCGGCUGGAUCACCUCCUUUCU
rnacentral:rRNA from 1 species